rnacentral:rRNA from 1 species
GUGGGGAAUCUUAGACAAUGGGCGCAAGCCUGAUCUAGCCAUGCCGCGUGAGCGAUGAAGGCCUUAGGGUUGUAAAGCUCUUUCGUGGGGGAAGAUAAUGACUGUACCCCAAGAAGAAGCCCCGGCUAACUCCGUGCCAGCAGCCGCGGUAAUACGGAGGGGGCUAGCGUUGUUCGGAAUUACUGGGCGUAAAGCGCACGUAGGCGGACCAGAAAGUCAGAGGUGAAAGCCCGGGGCUCAACCCCGGAACUGCCUUUGAAACUCCUGGUCUUGAGGUCGAGAGAGGUGGGUGGAAUUCCGAGUGUAGAGGUGAAAUUCGUAGAUAUUCGGAGGAACACCAGUGGCGAAGGCGGCCCACUGGCUCGAUACUGACGCUGAGGUGCGAAAGCGUGGGGAGCAAACAGGAUUAGAUACCCCAGUAGUCC